GUAAAGCCACAAAUUUGGCCUGUCACUGGUACACGGUAAAGCCACAAGUUUGGCCCCUCGCUUCUACCGGGUUAAUCACUUUCGGCCCUCACAUCAACCAUCCCCAAAGGCCAAAGAGAUCAGUCGGGUUUUAAUGAGUGAAAUUUUAGGUUUAUAAAAAGGGUCAUAAAACUACCACCGGAAAUGCCCACAACUCCUAUGAAACCCUUGUGUGUAUUUGAGGGACAGAAUGUUUUAUAAUAUGACCCAUAGUUGCGAUGGGAGCCUGAUAUGUUUAAAAAUAUAGGCCUAAGCUGGCAGAGGAUAAGGGAAUGCAGGAGUCCUAUGCUUAAGUGUUAGUUCUUUUAUUUUCUCAUAGUUUCUUAGUCUGAGUGUGUUUGUGUCUUGAAAGUUAAAGGAAAGGCCAAGAAGUGUGAGGAAGUUUGAGUGAGCGAGUGAAGUUCUGUUACGUCUAUUUUUGAUAAGAAAUAAAUACAUGUUAGUACAGUGAACCUUUUGUAUAGUGUUUGACCUUAGUAUGCCUUUUUCCACUAUACUAACAGACAUAACAGACAGAGAGACAGACAGACAGAUACUUAUAGGCACAGAGACAGACAGAGAUAGACAAAAUAAACCCCUCUUUCGGCCUCCUUUUUGGAUUCUUUUUAGGAGCAGCGAGUAGCGGGCUUUUUUUAUUAUUGUUUCCUUUUUUUGUGCCCUUGAGCUGUCUCCUUUGUUGAAAAAAAAAAAGACACACAGACAGACAGACAGAAAGACAGACAGACACAGAGAUAUGUAGACAGAGACAACAGACAUACAUAUCAAAAUACAGACAAACAAACAGACACAGAAACAAAGACAGACACAUAGACUUAAACAAACAUUCAGACACACACACAGACAGCGACAUAAAGAUACAGACAAACAAACAGACAGAUGGAAACAAACACAGAAACAAAAACAGACAUAGACUUAAACAAACAUAGAGACAGACAAACAUUCAGACUCACACAGACAGAGCGACAUAAAGAUACAGACAAACAAACACACAAACAAAAACAGACAUAGACUUAAACAAACAUAAAGACAGACAAACAUUCAGACACACACACAGACAGAGCGACGUAAAGAUACAGACAGACAGACAGACAGCAGGACUUCAAUAUAAUAAAUGCAUGAUCCUUACAUUUGUUCAUCAUCAACCAUUGCAUACAUAAACUCACUAGUCGAUAUACAGUAAUUUGUGAUUCAAUGCAUGUCUUAGGGUCAGUUUCACAGUUCCCCGUGAUGGGUUAGUAAGCUCCCAAACCAAUACCAGAGCCUUCAAAAUUUCCUUGUAUAGUGUCUAGUGUUUGUAUUUAAGUUCACAAAUUUGAUAAAACUAUACCGGAAAAGUCUUGUGUAUUUAGUGUGGCAUCGAAGACCUCACCAUUUUUGAUUGUAUGGGAUUCUGUAGUUUGGUUCGGGCUGUUACGAAGACACUGUGUUGGACUGUGAAAUCGGCUCUUAGUAUAGCAAAUUUCUUAAACCCUCUAAGGCGUAAUAUAUCGUCACCUUCGUAAACAAGCAAGUAAUUAUUAUCUACUUUACAGGAAAUUGGAAAAGAACUGUCAUCAUCUCAUUUGGCUUAACCCGGUAGCAGUGGGGAUCAUGUUUCUUAAUGGUCCCUCCAAGCGAGAAAAAUGAGAAAAAAUCAUCACUCACACAAACCAUUUCAUAAUAUAUAUCAAAGCAUUUGUGAUCAGUUUAUGUAUCAUCUAUUUUUGGGGGUUUAAAUCAUGGCACAAAUUUGGCCCGUCGCUGAUACACGAUAAAGCCACAAAUUUGGCCCGUCGCUGCUACCGGGUUAAGAUUUAGGCAGAAAUGAAAAGGCCAAUUCUAGAACACUCAAACCCUGAAUGACGAGGGCAACUAUACAAAAAUGGGUGUCACAUGAUGAAAAAGUGAUGUAGACAAAAACCUGGAAAUCACUGAAAAAUGACUUAGACAAUUAUUUUAAGAGGGUGACAAUAUAUGAUGCUAUUUAUGUACGAGCGAUAACUAGUAAUAUCGUUCAGCGUCCAUUCACACACAAGGAAGUUAUUAGACAAGAUGACUGAUAUAGGCGGAAGAAUAUUAGUUAACUGUGAUAAUUCAGAUUUUAAUAUUUAUAAUGAGUAGUAGUUAUAUAGAUCAAGAAUUACAUAACCAUCACUAGAUAACCCAUUUCUUGCAGUGAUAAUAAUAAUAAUAAUAAUAAUAAUAAUAAUAAUAAUAGCAGCAACAAAAUUAGUGAUAAAAACCUCAACUCUCUCCAUUUAUUCACACACACACACACACACACACACACACACACACACACACACACAACAAGAGAAUUAUUAAAAAGAGGGGACUAAAACCACUAUGUAAGUUCUUAGGAGGAUCAAACACCUUUUACAAGCCAGCCUGAGGGAGAGAAAGAUAAGAUUAAGAUAGAGAGCCAGAGAGAGAGAGAUAGAGACUUUUUAUCGUCAUUUUUUUACAACUUACUCAUAUUCACACUAAUCUCACAUAGUACUCAGCUGUUUCAAAAUAUAUACUCAUUGAAAUUAUACAUAUAGUUUUUUUUUUUGCAACAACUAUAAAUCAUGCUAGUAACAAUAAAAAAGCUAAUAAUACCUUUUGUUAAUGAUAAUAAUAAUGAAACCCAAAAAAAAAUAUAGUUACUCAGUGUAGGAGGAGAUGAAUGAGUGUAUAUCCAUUUGUUACUUGUGCAAUGUUCAUAGGUACACACACACACAUACACACACACACACACAAUUUCGAGAGGAGAGUAUCAUAACACCUUCCGAAAUUGACCUUUUUUGACCUCUCUUUUCUCUUAUAUCAGAACUGCAUCUAGGGAGCUAUCUAUGUUGUAUUUUAGUUGCUGUAUGUUGUAUUAUGUUGGCUUGUAUGCUGUAUUAUUUUCCACCCUUGAGCUGGCUACCUUGCUUCAAACACACACACACAAACGCACUCACACACACACAAACCUCUCCUCUCCUGAAAUUGACCUUUCUUUUGGCCACUCCUCUUGACAGGCCUUUUUUUUCAUUAGUUUCCUUUUUUUUUGCCCUUGACCUGUUUCCUCUACUGUAAAGAACAAACAAAAAUGCCCUACUCACAAAUGGCUUUAGUCCCCAUACUCAUAAUCGUAAGCAUACUCAUAGUUAUCCUAGUUGCUGUUUGUUGUAUUAUGUUGUUUUGUAUGUUGUAUAUUUUCCACCCUCGAGCUGACUACCUUGCUUAACCUGUCUGCUGCGAUUGGCACGGAUUUCGCCUUCACUUGUGGCCUGGUAACAUAUGCUCCCAGGUCUUUCUCUGCCUCUGUGGUGGAUAGUGGAGUGUUUCCCAUGUGGUAUUGGUGUGCUGGAUAUCCCUUCACUGGUAGCCUGGUAACAUACACUCCCAGGUCUUUCUCUGCCUCUGUGGUGGAUAGUGGAGUGUUUCCCAUGUGGUAUUGGUGUGCUGGAUAUCCCUUCACUGGUAGCCUGGUAACAUACACUCCCAGGUCUUUCUCUGCCUCUGUGGUGGAUAAUGGAGUGUUUCCCAUGUGGUAUUGGUGUGCUGGAUAUCCCUUCACUGGUAGCCUGGUAACAUAUGCUCCCAGGUCUUUCUCUGCCUCUGUGGUGGAUAGUGGAGUGUUUCCCAUGUGGUAUUGGUAUGCUGGAUUUCCCCUCCCAAGGUGUAGGA